UCUCCGAUUGACCUAGACAGGGCCACGACAGCAUAAGCAAGGGUGGGGGCGAGCAACCCUCUGAAGCCGGUAGCAGCCGUGCCCCUCCUCCUCACCUUCGCUUCUUCCCUCCUCCUCUCCAAUCUGUGAUGCCCAUCUGCGUCCUUGAUUUUCCAGUUUUCUGAUAAUCUAAUUUUGAUUCUCAUAUUCUGGUUACUUGUGGAGAGUAGAAGAAGAAUUUUGAGAAUGAGAUUGAUAAAGAUGAACAAGGAAGUAACGGUCAAGGAAGAAGAGUUAGAUGCCUCUGAAGAUGUUGAUGACUAGCCGCUUUGUCACAAGCAUGGCAGCUUGCUCAACU